rnacentral:rRNA from 1 species
GACGAACGCUGGCGGCGUGCUUAACACAUGCAAGUCGAACGGAAAGGCCCUGCUUUUGUGGGGUGCUCGAGUGGCGAACGGGUGAGUAACACGUGAGUAACCUGCCCUUGACUUUGGGAUAACUUCAGGAAACUGGGGCUAAUACCGGAUAGGAGCUCCUGCUGCAUGGUGGGGGUUGGAAAGUUUCGGCGGGUGGGGAUGGACUCGCGGCUUAUCAGCUUGUUGGUGGGGUAGUGGCUUACCAAGGCUUUGACGGGUAGCCGGCCUGAGAGGGUGACCGGCCACAUUGGGACUGAGAUACGGCCCAGACUCCUACGGGAGGCAGCAGUGGGGAAUAUUGCACAAUGGGCGGAAGCCUGAUGCAGCAACGCCGCGUGCGGGAUGACGGCCUUCGGGUUGUAAACCGCUUUCGCCUGUGACGAAGCGUGAGUGGCGGUAAUGGGUAAAGAAGCACCGGCUAACUACGUG